rnacentral:rRNA from 1 species
UACGAAGGGGGCUAGCGUUGUUCGGAAUUACUGGGCGUAAAGCGCGCGCAGGCGGUCUUACAAGUCAGAGGUGAAAGCCCAGGGCUCAACCCUGGAACUGCCUUUGAAACUGUAAGACUUGGGUAUGGGAGAGGUGAGCGGAAUUCCGAGUGUAGAGGUGAAAUUCGUAGAUAUUCGGAAGAACACCAGUGGCGAAGGCGGCUCACUGGCCCAUUACCGACGCUCAGGCGCGACAGCGUGGGGAGCGAACAGG